rnacentral:lncRNA from 1 species
GCAAGGGAGUACAAGUUGCAGACAAUAAGGUGUGCUAUGAAAUCUCGUCCUCGGUUUUCACUAUGUGCGAUGACUUUUAGUAUUUUGUAUUUCAUAAUUCCAACGCGUUUAUAUUUGCGAUGUAAAAUUUUUCUGAUAAGUAAAAGCACAAAAUGCCCCUAAUGGGCUAAACAGAAUUCUAUGAGUUCGUACUUGAUCUCUAUAUGUUUUGCCACAUUUCUUUGCAUAUUUGGAUAGUACAUAUCGAUAAGAACGCGUGGCCACAAGUGGAAUGAAAUUUGGAGCUAUAACAAAGAUUUUGCAAACUUGAAAGUCGAGGGCAUUUUAGUAAUUUUACCAUUAUUUCGACACAUGUUGUUUGUCUUUAAUGGCCUUCUUGUGUGUGCCCGUAGGGCGCACUGCUAAAAGAUUUUGGAACCUCUCUCUUUCUUUUCUCUCGACCUCACUAUCCUCUCAUUUUUGUUUUUCCUCUUGUCUCUCUUUUGUUUUCUCACCAAGAAGAGCACCACGCCACCUCCAAAUCUUAACAAGUUAAUCACUAAAUCAUCACCAAAACAAGCUCAUUCUCUUUACCAGCUCAAGGAUGAGCUUUGGAUUGUGAAAAAAGGACGACGAAACGAAGUUUCUAGAGCUUCAAAAUAGAUCGAGAGUUUACCGUAAAUUUCAUAUCGUUUCCAUCCAUCUUUUGGACUUCAAACAGGUAUAAAUCAAUUCUUCUCAUUGAGCAGACGAAUUUCCAUAUAUAGACCAUCAAAUUGGCUGAAAAAUGAAAAGUUAUGAGCUUUAGAAAAAAAUUCAAAAAUUCGGCGAGCUUACCCAUAUUCCAUUGGGUUUUCGGCGGGUCAGGUCAGUUCUAGUUUGGCUUGGCUUGGCCAGGUUAGCGUUCACCGAUGACAUUUGACUUUUUUGGAUUUUGACCCAAGACAUCUCUCAAC